UUAAUAUUCCAUAUAAUUUUUAUAACAAUCUUCUCAGCUAGCAAUUUCACUCUCUGGAGCCCUGAUUUAACAACCACGCAAUUUCACUCUCUUGCGGUGUCUCCGAUUACAGUUCAGGUGUUAGUAGUCGAGAACCGAGCAUGAGACUACGACGAGAUGUGGUUCUCUGUAUCAAGGUCCUUUUAUGAUACUUUAUCCAAUGCAGUGCAAUGCACACCAGCUGUAUGAUAAAAUGCUUCCCAGGUUAUUGAUUAAGAGAUUGAUGAGGUUGAUGAUUCCACAAGGGAGUACAAGGUAUGGAAUGGAGGCUUUAAGAUUUGUUGCAAGAAUUCCUUGAUAAAGUUCAAUUAACUUCUAUCUAGAGUUGUUCAACUAAAUAUGGCUAAUAAAUUAUUAGAUGAUCCUUGCAUCAAGAGAAGUGAGUUACAGCCACAAGCCAUGUGUGGGGAUCCUUUAUAUUUCUAGCUACCGAAUAGGGUUCUUGACCACAAUGAGGAAGGAGUUACAUUGGCAUUGGCAAGUUCUGAAGAAUUCCCAAAAAAUUGGUAAAAAAUGUGUUGAAGGUGGAAAAGUGCCAAAACUUAGAGUGAUGUAUCAUUCAACAGAGGAAGAUGGAUCAGGGAUCGGAAAGACAAUAAAAGCAUAAUUGGGUGAUAUUCAGAGUAUUGAAUAUUUGCAAGAGUAUCUACAGAACAAUGACAUUAAUUCAAUCUCUGUGAAUACUUUAGGAGCCAAAGAAGUUUUAUUAGAGUUUGCAAUUUAAUAUGAAAUGUAUGUUCUGUAAAUUGAAGUGCGUAGUUUCUAGUGGA